ACAUCACCCAUAAAUUGUCCCUUCAGCCUAUGGUUGUUUUUCUUUUUAGGUGCAGGCUUCUGAGUGGAAAGGAUAUUGCCCAGGGGCUUCGUCAAACAAUCACCGAGUAAUUUUCCUCGCUUGACUAAUAUAUUUGCUCAUUAGAAGGCUACCAGCUUUACGGUUUGAAUUGAAGAAUAGAUUAUCACUGUGAUAAUUAUAAUAUUAUGAAGCCUCACUAGCUACCCACCGGGCAAAAAUUGGUCGAAUCAAUGUUGUUUCCACGUCAUUUCAACAAAACAAUUCAACAUUCAUCAACGGAUUAUAAAAAAGUCAUCAUGGAACCUAACUGCCCAACUGAAACCUUUGGAUUUGAAUUUGAGAGGACAGCAGGUGCAGCCACUUAACUGGAAAAUGUAACGAUCUCCUCAAUUUAAGAAUUGUUGGAUUCACAGACGUCAUCCUCCCUACGCCCCUGAUGAAUAUAUUAGGAAACCUGUUCGAUCACCAUGUGGCUAUGGAUACGGGGAACAACAACACAUUAACAUGAACACGUUAGAGAAUAUAUCCAUUGGACUUGGGGCUCUGCUGGGAGUCUACCUCAUAUUUAGAUUUUUUUAAAUUCUGCUUUGCCACUAAAAUCAUAAUAAACA